rnacentral:rRNA from 1 species
GACAGAGGGUGCAAGCGUUGUCCGGAAUUAUUGGGCGUAAAGAGCUCGUAGGCGGUCUGUCGCGUCGGCUGUGAAAACUCGGGGCUCAACUCCGAGCUUGCAGUCGAUACGGGCAGGCUAGAGUUCGGUAGGGGAGUCUGGAAUUCCUGGUGUAGCGGUGAAAUGCGCAGAUAUCAGGAGGAACACCGGUGGCGAAGGCGGGACUCUGGGCCGAUACUGACGCUGAGGAGCGAAAGCGUGGGGAGCGAACAGG